rnacentral:rRNA from 1 species
GGACCUGACUGCUAUCGGAUUGAUACUAAGCCAUGCGAGUCAUUGUAGUAAUACAAGGCAGACGGCUCAGUAACGCGUAGUCAACCUAACCUAUGGACGGGAAUAACCUCGGGAAACUGAGUAUAAUGCCCGAUAGAACAUUAUGCCUGGAAUGGUUUAUGUUCCAAAUGAUUUAUCGCCGUAGGAUGGGACUGCGGCCUAUCAGUUUGUUGGUGAGGUAAUGGCCCACCAAGACUAUUACAGGUACGGGCUCUGAGAGGAGUAGCCCGGAGAUGGGUACUGAGACACGGACCCAGGCCCUAUGGGGCGCAGCAGGCGAGAAAACUUUGCAAUGUGCGAAAGCACGACAAGGUUAAUCCGAGUGGUUUCUGCUAAAGGAACCUUUUGACAGUCCUAGAAACACUGUUGAAUAAGGGGUGGGCAAGUUCUGGUGUCAGAG